rnacentral:rRNA from 1 species
AUUGAACGCUGGCGGCAUGCUUUACACAUGCAAGUCGAACGGUAACAGGCCUUCGGGCGCUGACGAGUGGCGAACGUGUGAGUAAUGCAUCGGAACGUGCCCAGUCGUGGGGGAUAACGCAGCGAAAGCUGUGCUAAUACCGCAUACGAUCUACGGAUGAAAGCGGGGGACCGAAAGGCCUCGCGCGAUUGGAGCGGCCGAUGUCAGAUUAGGUAGUUGGUGGGGUAAAGGCCCACCAAGCCAACGAUCUGUAGCUGGUCUGAGAGGACGACCAGCCACACUGGGACUGAGACACGGCCCAGACUCCUACGGGAGGCAGCAGUGGGGAAUUUUGGACAAUGGGCGCAAGCCUGAUUCAGCAAUGCCGCGUGCAGGAAGAAGGCCUUCGGGUUGUAAACUGCUUUUGUACGGAACGAAACGGUCCGGGUUAAUACCCUGGGCUAAUGACGGUACCGUAAGAAUAAGCACCGGCUAACUACGUGCCAGCCGCCGCCGUAAUAC